rnacentral:tRNA from 1 species
UCCUCAAUAGCUCAAUUGGUAGAGCAUCUGACUGUUAAUCAGAAGGUCGUUGGUUCGAAUCCAACUUGAGGAG